rnacentral:rRNA from 1 species
UGAGGAAUAUUGGGCAAUGCCCGCAAGGGUGACCCAGCAACGCCGCGUGGAGGAUGAAUGUCGUAAGAUUGUAAACUCCUGUUAGAGGGGAAGAAUAGUACCGGUUGGACCGGUAUAUGACUGUACCCUCAGAGAAAGCCCCGGCUAACUACGUGCCAGCAGCCGCGGUAAAACGUAGGAGGCGAGCGUUAUCCGGAUUUACUGGGUGUAAAGCGCGUGCAGGCGGUUGGCUAAGUUGGGUGUGAAAGCUCCUGGCUCAACUGGGAGAGGUCGCUCAAGACUGCCAGACUGGAGCGUGGUAGGGGAAGGCGGAAUUCCGGGUGUAGUGGUGAAAUGCGUAGAUAUCCGGAGGAACACCAGUGUCGAAAGCGGCCUUCUGGACCAUGACUGACGCUCAGACGCGAAAGCUAGGGGAGCAAACG